UACAGAGGGAGCAAGCGUUGUUCGGAAUUACUGGGCGUAAAGGGCGCGUAGGCGGUUCGAUAAGUCCCGUGUGAAAUCCCUCGGCUCAACUGAGGAAUUGCACGGGAAACUGACGGGCUUGAGUUCGGGAGAGGGAAGCGGAAUUCCGGGUGUAGCGGUGAAAUGCGUAGAUAUCAGGAGGAACACCGGUGGCGAAGGCGGGAUCCUGGGCCAGUACUGACGCUGAUGAGCGAAAGCGUGGGGAGCAAACAGG
rnacentral:rRNA from 1 species